CAAGUACUCCCUCCGUUCCAAAUUACUUGUCUUAGAUUUAUCUAGAUACGGAGGUAUCUAGCACUAAAAUAAGUCUAGAUACAUCCGUAUCUAGACAAAUCCAAAACAAGUAAUUCGGAACGGAGGGAGUAGUAG
rnacentral:pre_miRNA from 1 species